rnacentral:rRNA from 1 species
UACGUAGGUGGCAAGCGUUAUCCGGAAUUACUGGGCGUAAAGCGCACGCAGGCGGUCUGUUAAGUUUGACGUGAAAGCCCCCGGCUUAACUGGGAGAGGUCGAUGAAGACUGGCAGACUUGAGGCGAUGAGAGGGGUGUAGAAUUCCCGGUGUAGUGGUGGAAUGCGUAGAUAUCGGGGGGAAUACCAGUGGCGAAAGCGGCACCCUAGCGUUAGCCUGACGCUCAUGUGCGAAAGCGUGGGGAGCGAACGGG